GUUCAUUUCUUCUAUUCUUCUCUCUAUAUGUUGGUGUUCUAACCAAUAAUCACCAAAGCGAUGUUCUGUCCGAUUGAUUCAGGAACCAACUAACGAAUGCCAAAGUGUUGUACUUUGUGAAUUUCGGUAAACGGAAUCCAAAGUGUUAUACUUUGUGAGUUCGUUAAAUGGAUACCAAAGUACUAUACUUUGUGAGUUCGUUAAAUGGAUACCAAAGUACUAUACUUUGUGAGUUCGUUAAACGGAUGCCAAAGUACUAUACUUUGUGAAUUCUGUUAAGGUUCGAAUCUCGUGACUACCGUUAAGGCUUGAUUUGGGUUUUACACAAAUACGUAUUCCAUUCUGUUAAACUAUAUGUUUAACUACUCGGAUACUCCCAACUGCACACUUACAAUCAAACAAACUAUUACUUCAUCAGAAGAUUCAGAACAAUAAAGUAUACGCUUAAUUAUCAGAAGGAAUAGUAUCCAGAAGCUUGUUAAAUCAAUACUGCAUGCUUAUAAUGGAUUAAGUCUUUGUAAUCACCAAGUUAUAGCCGGUAUGUGGGGUUUUGUAUACAUUACUAGUUUCUCGUCACACUUGGACAAACGGGUGGCCAAGGGGU
rnacentral:lncRNA from 1 species